rnacentral:rRNA from 1 species
GUCUACAGCCAUGUCACCCUGAACAAGCCCAGUGUCUGAUCUUGGAAGCUAAGCAGGGUUGGGCCUGGUUAGUACUUAGAUGGGAGACCACCUAGGAAGACCAGGUACUGUAGGCA